UGUAUGGAUAUAAGUAUUUUUAAAUAAUUUUAAAAAUCUGAAGAGCAAAGAAUAUAUUCAUUUUGUCAUUUUGGAAAAUGUAGAAACAGAUAAGAAAAUCAUAAUUGAUCACAGUCUCAUCUCUGAAGAUUAUCCAGGAUCGUCCUGUCUUACCCAUCUGCUCCAGGUGGACUGGUUGAAACAGAAAACUGUCCCAUUGCUCUUCCAUUUGGAACCUCUGCUGACUUUUCACGCCUACUCAAUAAGGACAACAAAGCUCAAACUCUUCCGGAUGACACACCCUUCAGAUCCCCCUCCCCCCAGCUGUGUAGCCCUUUUCCGAGGACACACCCCUCAUUCCAAGGAACAUGUGGAAUGCUUUAUGGCUAUUGUCUGUGGGGAGAAAUCCAGUGAUUUCUUUGAAGCUGAAUUUAACACUCACCUCAUUAGAAUCCUUCUUGUUUAAAAUGUGAAAGAUUGAAAAAUGAUGAAUGGAAAAAAUGAUGGAGCAAAUCAUGUUGCUUGAAUAAAUGAUGAAUUUUGGCA